UCAAAAAAAUGAAACACAGCUGUUGUUGGAUCAAAGAAUUUAAAUGUGUUUGAAUUAUAUAAUAUACUUAAGUUUGUGCAUUUAAAUUAAAAUCUUAGUUUGGACAAAAUUAGAAAAAGUAAUUUUCAAAUUUACACAGUUUACUUACAUUAAAUGAAUGAAAUAAAGUUGUGUUGGUUCUGCAGUACCGCACUUUGAUCAGCAGGUGGCGCUGCACAAGCGCAUGCGCAGAUAGAACCCACAUGGUUCACUCUUCUGAUUACGGUCGGCCAUUUUCUGCAUUAACGUCUUAUAAACAAAAUUACUUUACAAGCGGAGAAAACGGAGAAAGUUCUGUCUUUAUGUGGAGACACAGAGUUUGGAAGUUAUGCCUCAGGAGUCCCACAAGUGGCUGUGCAGAGAUUGUGGCUCAUUUCACACAUCCAGAUCAACGCUUUUAAAACACUUCAGGUUUCUGCAGAAUUCAGUAGGAUUACAACAAUCCCUUUGGUGUCCAAAUUCAUGGGUCAGCUCGAUCAUUUCUCAACUCAGCUUAUCAGUGUUUUCAGAAAGAAAGGAGGAGCAGCAGGACAGAAGAUCAACAACAUCAUGUCAGUUUUGGAUCAGGGUGUUUCCAUCGAAAAAAGACGUGAAUGCAUCCUAAAAUCACUUGUUGUUUAUGUGAACGAAGACCCCUCAAACCUUGUGAAGGAG